UACGUCAGCGGCAGACGGGUGAGUAACGCGUGGGAACAUACCUUUUGGUUCGGAACAACACAGGGAAACUUGUGCUAAUACCGGAUAAGCCCUUACGGGGAAAGAUUUAUCGCCAAAAGAUUGGCCCGCGUCUGAUUAGCUAGUUGGUGAGGUAACGGCUCACCAAGGCGACGAUCAGUAGCUGGUCUGAGAGGAUGAUCAGCCACAUUGGGACUGAGACACGGCCCAA
rnacentral:rRNA from 1 species